UAAAAUUCACAGUCUUUUUACAAUUCAAAGUCUCUCAACUGUGGGCUCCACCAAAAUUCUUUCUUCCUUCAGGAGGGAAAAAUAUCAGGGCACAGUCACAAUCAAAAGCAAAAUCAAACUCUAUCUGGGAUCCAAACAAUAUCUGGGAUACACUCAUGAUCUGGCAUCCUCCAAGGGCUUGGGUCACUUCUUCAGCUCUGCCCUUUGUAGCACACCUUGUCGUUUAGGCUCCACAUGCCUGUACUCCACUGCUACUGCUGUUCUUGGUGGUCAUCUCAUGGUACUGGCAUCUCCAAAACUCUAGGCUUCACCAAUAGCCUCUUACAGGCUUUCUUCAUUGUUCCGGGCCUCAAA
rnacentral:lncRNA from 1 species